GCAUAGCUCAGUGGUAGAGCAUCUGCUUUGCACACAGAUGAUUCUAGGUUUAAUAUCCAGCCUAAAAACCUAGGACAGGCA